rnacentral:rRNA from 1 species
CGGCGGACGGGUGAGUAACGCGUAGGCAACCUGCCCUUUGCAGAGGGAUAGCCUCGGGAAACCGGGAUUAAAACCUCAUGAUGCUGUAUGUCCGCAUGGGCAGACGGUCAAAGAUUUAUCGGCAGAGGAUGGGCCUGCGUCUGAUUAGUUAGUUGGUGGGGUAACGGCCUACCAAGGCAACGAUCAGUAGCCGACCUGAGAGGGUGAUCGGCCACAUUGGAACUGAGACACGGUCCAA